GGGAUUACAGGCGUGAGUCACUGCGCCCGGCUGAGAUUCUUUUGCUAUUAUUCUAUGAAGCCCUCGGCACGAUGCUUGACACACACUAGGUGCCUGAUAAGUGGAGCUUCUAUUGCUGUUCCCCUUAGCAUGAUGCCCCUUGGUGCUGGCACAUAGUAGGUGCCUAAUAAAUGGAGCUUCUGUUGCCGUUCCCCUUGUCAUGGUGCCUGGCACAUAGUAGGUGCUUAAUAAAUGGAGCUUCUAGCUCUGUUGCUGUUCCCCUUGCCAUGGUGCCUGGCACAUAGUAGGUGUUCAGUAAAUAGAUGCUUUACUAUUAUUUUGUGAAGCCCUUGGUGUUGGCACAUAGUAGGUACUUAAUAAAUGGAGCUUCUGGUGCCAUUCCCCUUGGCAUGGUGCCUGGCACAUAGAUGUUCAACAAAUAGAUGCUUUUACUAUUUUGUGAAACCCUUGGUGCUGGCACAUAG